GGAGCAUGUGGUUUAAUUCGAUGCAACGCGAAGAACCUUACGUACUCUUGACAUCCAGAGAACUUGGCAGAGAUGCCUUGGUGCCUUCGGGAACUCUGAGACAGGUGCUGCAUGGCUGUCGUCAGCUCGUGUUGUGAAAUGUUGGGUUAAGUCCCGCAACGAGCGCAACCCUUAUCCUUUGUUGCCAGCGAUUCGGUCGGGAACUCAAAGGAGACUGCCAGUGAUAAACUGGAGGAAGGUGGGGAUGACGUCAAGUCAUCAUGGCCCUUACGAGUAGGGCUACACACGUGCUACAAUGGCGUAUACAAAGAGAAGCGACCUCGCGAGAGCAAGCGGACCUCAUAAAGUACGUCGUAGUCCGGAUUGGAGUCUGCAACUCGACUCCAUGAAGUCGGAAUCGCUAGUAAUCGUAGAUCAGAAUGCUACGGUGAAUACGUUCCCGGGCCUUGUACACACCGCCCGUCACACCAUGGGAGUGGGUUGCAAAAGAAGUAGGUAGCUUAACCUUCGGGAGGGCGCUUACCACUUUGUGAUUCAUGACUGGGGUGAAGUCGUAACAAGGUAACCAAGGGCGAAUUCUG
rnacentral:rRNA from 1 species